rnacentral:tRNA from 1 species
GGAGAGAUGGCUGAGUGGUCGAAAGCGGCUGCCUGCUAAGCAGUUGUAGCUCUUAUGAGCUACCAUGGGUUCGAAUCCCUUUCUCUCCGC